rfam:Shinella sp. HZN7 plasmid pShin-01, complete sequence.
AGUCAAGCCUUUUUGGCGCCGGUUCCGGUGAUGGGGUCUCUUUUGCCUGUUGAAAGGUGAAGAGACAUG